UUGAACGCGAAGAACCUUACCUGGGUUUGACAUGCACAGGACGCCGGCAGAGAUGUCGGUUCCCUUGUGGUCUGUGUGCAGGUGGUGCAUGGCUGUCGUCAGCUCGUGUCGUGAGAUGUUGGGUUAAGUCCCGCAACGAGCGCAACCCUUGUCUCAUGUUGCCAGCGGGUAAUGCCGGGGACUCGUGAGAGACUGCCGGGGUCAACUCGGAGGAAGGUGGGGAUGACGUCAAGUCAUCAUGCCCCUUAUGUCCAGGGCUUCACACAUGCUACAAUGGCCGGUACAAAGGGCUGCGAUGCCGUGAGGUGGAGCGAAUCCUUUCAAAGCCGGUCUCAGUUCGGAUCGGGGUCUGCGAAAUCGACCCCGUGAAGUCGGAGUCGCUAGUAAUCGCAGAUCAGCAACGCUGCGGUGAAUACGUUCCCGGGUCUUGUACACACGCAAA
rnacentral:rRNA from 1 species